CCCUUUGAAAUGACUGACGACGCCGUGUAGUCUUCGGAUUCUCUACAUGAAAAGGUGAGUAAAUGUUCAUCAUUCUUGUAUCACACCUUAUAUUGAAGACCCGCGUACCAAUUGUAUUAGUUCGACAACCCCCACAAUUUGCUUCUUCUUCUGUAGACGAAUUUAUGUUUGCUACAGUUUCUCUAUUGUUACACCCAAAUAUCGACUAUAUAAGACAAGAUGCUCCUUGGAUACUGAAACUUUGCUUUUUUUUAUGUGUUUGGUUCGAACGGCAGGAGGACAUAGAAGACGAGUAGAAGGGAAUGGUUAAUGGAGUCCAUCAAUG
rnacentral:lncRNA from 1 species